CGGAGUGCCUGCCACUCCGGGAACAAAAGCCAUGGGAGGUCGGCUCUCUACCCCGCGGCACAAGUUACAGCCAAAGUCCACGCGGGUGGGGGGCCAACAGACAGGCUCUCCACUGUUAAUCUUUAUUAACGCGGUCUGGGGAGUGGCUUGGGGUUCCCAGGGGCAGGAUUGGGACCCGGAAACUCCACCUUGACAAUCUUUUUUUGGUUUGGAGAUACCGAGAUACUGGGAAGGCCUCUCCCGGGGCACCGGCUUCAAGGAGUUCAAAUAUACCUCCCUAAGUCUGUGCUGAGAGCCAAGUCCCUGAAGCUACAGCCCAAGGUUUUAAAAAUCAGGACCAAGGAGAGAAGUUUUAGUUCGUCUGUGAGAUAGAAGACUCUGUUUCAUCAGUGCGUUGCUGGCGGGGAAGACGGACUGAUCUUCUGGAAAAUGAUGAAGCAUCUCUUCAGAGACACCAGAUGGCACGACAGCCGCACUCCUGGUCCUCCCAGGUCCACGUCCUCAUCUUUGUGACCUCCCCCAAGAAGAAGAAAGAGGAGGAGGAGGAAGAGGAGGAGUGGGAGGAGAAGGAGAGGAGGAGGAGAAGGAGGAAGAGGAGAGGGUCUAAUUUGUGUUGUCCAUAUGUUCACUGGAGCAUGGCCCAACUCCCCCCACUAGCCCCUAAGCUCUGUGUUAUGAUUUAACAAAAGUCAUCCAUCUAUAUUUGCUCCUUGUCUCUGGUUCCUCCUAAAAACCUUGGAAACUCUGGAGUCUUGUCAUUCCUCUGUGACCUCUGGAGUCAACGGGUGUGUCCUUUAUCAUUCCCACUAAGUCCUUCCGCCUUGUCUGACCUUGUGCCAACAGUGACUCAGAACAGACUUUAGAUGGACUCAAAGAGGAGCUGCCACACCAGGAGGGCUGAGAACGUAACUGGAGGGCUGGAGCCGUCGGCUGCCGAGAACUAGUUGCUUCCCUUGUCACUGAGGCGAAACACCAACGACUUAAGGGAGAGAGGACUUAUUCUGUGAUGGUUUCAGGGGAUACUGCUUCUCAGGUGAAUGGAUGUAUCUGACAGUCAGUAGAGUGGGGGUGUGUCUGUCAGUAGAUGGGGUGUAUCUGUCAGUAGAUGGGGUGUAUCUGUCAGUAGAUGGGGUGUAUCUGUCAGUAGAUGGGGUGUAUCUGUCAGUAGUUCUGAGAGCCGCAGGAGACAUCUCCUCACACUUUAGCAGACCAGAAAGCAAAGAAAUGGACAGAAGCAGAGCCAAGCCCAAGACCCAUCUCCAGGGCCUAAGUCCACAGCUGGGUUCCUAGCCCCAGAGGUUCCAUAACCUCCCAAACAGCAAGCACCUCCAGCCAGAGACCAAAUGCCCCCAAACAUGAGCCUGUGGGUGGCAUUUCACAGUGGCAUCAUAGCACCCACUUCCACCUCCAGGGAGGGAAGAGGGGCCGAAGUCUAGUCCCAUGCUUAGUAGUGAACUCCAUUGAGCUUCCCAGUUGAUGGCACAUAAUGUGAGAGGGGUCAUGUCACACACCCAGGGACAGAGCGGCCACCUCUCCUUCAGACUUCACCCAGAUUGUCUCUACUAAGACUGUUUCUAAAGCUGGGCACCGUGCACGGACCUGUUAUCCCAGGAAAGGCCCAGGAAUCAAGAGCUCAGGGCUAGCCUCCUCUAUAUAACAUGUUUAAGUCUAGCCUGGGCUACAAGAGACCCUAUCUCAAAAUAGUAACAACAAUAAGAAGCCAACAAUAAGAAAAACCAACACAACCCCACAAAACAAGCGUGUGGCUGUUCCUAAUGUGUACCAUUUACAAUAGGAUGGCGCUAAGCCUUUGCUGGGUUCUGUGAGUUGGAGCAAGUCCUCAGUUCUGAAGCGGGGUCUUGGGAACCCUGAACUGACAGUCACACUGGUUAGUAAGAGCCCUGGGUAAACCCCUGGGAUUACCCAUGCUGGUGUGCUGUGGGCCAGAGUUCCAGAUCUGCGGGUGCAAACUGCAGGUACUGUGAGAACCCAGUGUGACUGCUGGGCGUCCAGCUGGUGCUGAGGAAGUGCUGAAACACCCUGGGGGGCAGGGAGCACUCUCACAUUGUGUGAAAACGUUGUGAAUACUGCCAGCAAGACCGUAGACCUUGAAUACCAAAUAGAAGCAAUUGUGUUACUAGAACACAUCAUUGUCAAGGGAGAUUAACGCAGUGCUUCUAACCUACGGGGUUGCAACCCCUUUGGGAAUUGAAGAACCCUUUCACAGGGGUUAUAUAUCAGAUAGCCUGCUGCUGGAGGGCUUCUCUCCAGGUUCCCCAAGCCCCGCAGUCCCACAAUCCACAUAUAAAAUA